GGCGAUAUGGCCAAGUGGUAAGGCAAUAGAUUGCAAAUCUUUUAUCCCCAGUUCGAAUCUGGGUGUCGUCU
rnacentral:tRNA from 1 species